UCCUACGGGAGGCAGCAGUGGGGAAUAUUGGACAAUGGGCGAAAGCCUGAUCCAGCCAUGCCGCGUGUGUGAAGAAGGUCUUCGGAUUGUAAAGCACUUUAAGUUGGGAGGAAGGGCAGUAAGCUAAUACCUUGCUGUUUUGACGUUACCAACAGAAUAAGCACCGGCUAACUCCGUGCCAGCAGCCGCGGUA
rnacentral:rRNA from 1 species